AGGUGGUUAGAGCGCACGCCUGAUAAGCGUGAGGUCGGUGGUUCGAGUCCACUCGUGCCCA
rnacentral:tRNA from 1 species